rnacentral:rRNA from 1 species
CAGUCGCCGCGGGAAUACGUAGGUGGCAAGCGUUGAUCGGAAUCACUGGGCGUAGAGCGCGCGUAGGCGGACAUUUAAGUCAGGGGUGAAAUCCCGGGGCUCAACCCCGGAACUGCCUCUGAUACUGGGUGUCUAGAGUUCGGAAGAGGUAAGUGGAAUUGCGAGUGUAGAGGUGAAAUUCGUAGAUACUCGCAGGAACCCCGCUGGCGAAGGCGACUUACUGGUCCGAUACUGACGCUGAGGUGCGAAAGCGUGGGGAGCAAACAGGAUUAGAUACCCCCGUAGUCCCUGUCUCUUAUAC